UGGGGAAUAUUGCACAAUGGGCGAAAGCCUGAUGCAGCAACGCCGCGUGCGGGAAGAAGGCCCUAGGGUUGUAAACCGCUUUCAGCAGGGAAGAAAAUGACGGUACCUGCAGAAGAAGGUGCGGCCAACUACGUGCCAGCAGCCGCGGUGACACGUAGGCACCAAGCGUUGUCCGGAUUUAUUGGGCGUAAAGAGCUCGUAGGCGGUUCAGUAAGUCGGGUGUGAAAACUCUGGGCUCAACCCCAGAGACGCCACCCGAUACUGCUGUGACUUGAGUACGGUAGGGGAGUGGGGAAUUCCUGGUGUAGCGGUGAAAUGCGCAGAUAUCAGGAGGAACACCAGUGGCGAAGGCGCCACUCUGGGCCGUAACUGACGCUGAGGAGCGAAAGCGUGGGGAGCAAACAGGAUUAGAUACCCCCGUAGUCCCUGAGCGGGCUGGCAAGGCGCAU
rnacentral:rRNA from 1 species